ACGGCUCAGUAACACGUGGAUAACCUGCCCUUGGGUCCGGCAUAACCCCGGGAAACUGGGGAUAAUUCCGGAUACCGCAUAUGUGCUGGAAUGCUUUAUGCGUAAAAUGGAUUCGUCUGCCCAAGGAUGGGUCUGCGGCCUAUCAGGUAGUAGUGGGUGUAAUGUACCUACUAGCCGACAACGGGUACGGGUUGUGAGAGCAAGAGCCCGGAGAUGGAUUCUGAGACAUGAAUCCAGGCCCUACGGGGCGCAGCAGGCGCGAAAACUUUACAAUGCGGGAAACCGUGAUAAGGGGACACCGAGUGUCAGCGUCAUACGCUGGCUGUCCAGGUGUGUAAAAUACACCUGUUAGCAAGGGCCGGGCAAGACCGGUGCCAGCCGCCGCGGUAACACCGGCGGCCCGAGUGGUGAUCGUGAUUAUUGGGUCUAAAGGGUCCGUAGCCGGUUUGGUCAGUCCUCCGGGAAAUCUGAUAGCUCAACUAUUAGGCUAUCGGGGGAUACUACCAGACUUGGAACCGGGAGAGGUAAGAGGUACUACAGGGGUAGGAGUGAAAUCUUGUAAUCCCUGUGGGACCACCUGUGGCGAAGGCGUCUUACCAGAACGGGUUCGACGGUGAGGGACGAAAGCUGGGGGCACGAACCGGAUUAGAUACCCGGGUAGUCCCAGCCGUAAACGAUGCUCGCUAGGUGUCAGGCAUGGCGCGACCGUGUCUGGUGCCGCANGGAAGCCGUGAAGCGAGCCACCUGGGGAAGUACGGCCGCAAGGCUGAAACUUAAAGGAAUUGGCGGGGGANCAC
rnacentral:rRNA from 1 species